rnacentral:rRNA from 1 species
AUGCGCAAAGGACUCACAUCCGCAACGCUGCUGAUCCCUUGGAUGGCAUGGAAGCAUCGCAACGAUUGUGUCAUCAAUGCUGCAACCCCAUCGACUACCGUCUUGGUUGCAAAGAUCAAAGAAGAAGCUGCGCUCUGGGCGACCGCGGGUGCUCGAGGCCUGCGUGUCAUCCUCCCACAGACCUGGGACGUCCACUGA